rnacentral:rRNA from 1 species
UACGUAGGGUGCGAGCGUUGUCCGGAAUUACUGGGCGUAAAGAGCUCGUAGGUGGUUUGUCGCGUUGUUCGUGAAAACCUGAGGCUUAACCUUAGGCGUGCGGGCGAUACGGGCAGACUGGAGUACUGCAGGGGAGACUGGAAUUCCUGGUGUAGCGGUGGAAUGCGCAGAUAUCAGGAGGAACACCGGUGGCGAAGGCGGGUCUCUGGGCAGUAACUGACGCUGAGGAGCGAAAGCGUGGGGAGCGAACAGG